ACGUGCUUGCCUCUUCUUCUUUUUCGGACGUGCUGGAUAUUCAAUUCGGGUUUGGGUUCCUCACCUACCCGAUUUUAAAACUUUAUCUCAAUUCUCCCCAGCCCUUGGAUUGAUCUGAUGGCUAUAAAGUGAACCCCUUAUAACUUACCCCUUAUAACUUUCCACUCAUUAUAGUCUGAGCGUUUGUAAACCACCCCCCAAGUCUUAUGCCCUUGUUGGCUCAACUCCUUGGUAGCUUUCACUCAUGG
rnacentral:lncRNA from 1 species